AACGAACGCUGGCGGCAUGCCUAACACAUGCAAGUCGAACGAGACCUUCGGGUCUAGUGGCGCACGGGUGCGUAACGCGUGGGAACCUGCCCUUAGGUUCGGAAUAACUCGCCGAAAGGGGUGCUAAUACCGGAUAAUGUCUUCGGACCAAAGAUUUAUCGCCUUUGGAUGGGCCCGCGUUGGAUUAGCUAGUUGGUAGGGUAAAAGCCUACCAAGGCGACGAUCCAUAGCUGGUCUGAGAGGAUGAUCAGCCACACUGGGACUGAGACACGGCCCAGACUCCUACGGGAGGCAGCAGUGGGGAAUAUUGGACAAUGGGCGAAAGCCUGAUCCAGCAAUGCCGCGUGAGUGAUGAAGGCCUUAGGGUUGUAAAGCUCUUUUACCCGGGAUGAUAAUGACAGUACCGGGAGAAUAAGCUCCGGCUAACUCCGUG
rnacentral:rRNA from 1 species